GGUGAUCGAUGUGCCCGUCGACAGCGAGGGGCCAGUGGUGACUUCGUCAAUAUCGAAGAUUUGUCGGCUCAGCCUUUCGAAGGUGCUCAAUCAUAGGAGUAUGGUUAUUGCGUGCUUGUGUUCGUACGGACGAGUGUGCGUGUGUGUAUGUAAGCAUGUGCGUUUGUGCUUUGUGAUUCGAAAAAAAAGAACAAGUGGUCGAAUUAAAUGCUUGCUCGAGAAAUCUGAGGAGAAAUUAAGGUGGGGCCAUGGACCCUUUAACCUAGUGGAAGCCCCCUCAGUGCGUUCUUUGAUCCCCUGAGUGUGGAAUUCGUUGCCAGAAUCUUACAGGAUUUGGGGAAAAUGGCAGCUAACUCAAUACCAUAUUAAGUUAUUAUAUACUAUGUAAAUGGAUUUCUCAUGGAAAGAACAUGUCGUCUCUUGCCAAUGUGGCAAAUAGAUAGAGUAGUACAACAUCAUGGAGCCGGGGGCAAGCAAGUCAACCCCAUAGGGGGAAGAAGAACCUCAGAAGAGUCCAUUAUUAGGCUCAACGUCUUAGGGCAAGAGCCCAUGAAAUGGGUCGGGCCAGAGGACAAAGUUGUGUGUCUGCCAUGCAUGAUGGCCCAAUGCAACACACUAAUCAUGGUCGAUCAGACCACAACAUCCACUAGACCUCUCCCUUUUUGUAACCACC
rnacentral:lncRNA from 1 species